GAGUUUGAUCGUGGCUCAGAUUGAACGCUGGCGGCAUGCCUUACACAUGCAAGUCGAACGACGGCAGGGGGCGAACUCCUGCCGAGUGGCGAACGGGUGAGUACAACAUCGGAACGUGUCCCGUCGUGGGGGAGUAACCAGUCGAAAGACUGGCUAAUACCGCAUGAGAUCGAGAGAUGAAAGCGGGGACCGGCAAGGCCUCGCGCGAUGGGAGCGGCCGAUGCCGGAUUAGCUAGUUGGCGGGGUAAAAGCCCACCAAGGCGACGAUCCGUAGCUGGUUUGAGAGAACGACCAGCCACACUGGGACUGAGACACGGCCCAGACUCCUACGGGAGGCAGCAGUGGGGAAUUUUGGACAAUGGGCGCAAGCCUGAUCCAGCCAUGCCGCGUGUGUGAAGAAGG
rnacentral:rRNA from 1 species